GAGAAUUCGAGGUGACUACGAGGAAGCAAGAAGUGGUGGCCGCUGCACUGCCAUUGCAAGAGCACUGGCUACCACUCUCCAACCUCGACUUGCUUCUACCUCCGGUCGAUGUUGGAGUGUUCUUCUGCUACAAGAACCACACCAGCCCCUCUGCGGCCGCGGCCAGGUUCGGGGUUUUGAAGAAGGCCCUGACCCAAGCCCUGGUUGCAUACUAUGCCUUUUCGGGUGAGGUGGUGACCAAUUCUUUUGGGGAGCCUGAGAUUCUGUGCAACAACCGUGGGGUUGGUUUUGUUGAAGCUUUUGCCGACGUUGAGCUUAAAGAGCUCAACCUUUAUAACCCUGAUGAGAGCAUUGAAGGUAAAUUUGUUCCCAACAAGAAGCGUGGAGUUCUGGCUGUCCAGGUUUAUCCCUCGCUCUCUUUUCAACGUGUUUUAACUCUUUCUAUUUAUAGAACAUGCAUGUAAAAUUAGGGAAUACAAAAUUAGGGUUCCAGGUUUAAGGUGUACUUGACUUCAGAGUUCAGUUUGCAAAUGCAUGUAAUCAAAUGAGGACCUCAACUCUUCAAGCGACUAAAUUUGGACAUAUAUAUAUUAUCAACAUCCAGAUACAAACCAUGAGGAGCAUACUUAAAUUGCAGUACAUCGUUAAGCUAUCAAAAGUUACUCAUGAGAUAAAUUGUUUUAACCAAUUUUCUCUUGUUAAAAUGUACAAAUUUUGCAGGCAACUGAACUCAAGUGUGGAGGGAUGGUGGUGGCAUGCACAUUCGACCAUCGCGUAGCAGAUGCUUAUUCAGCGAACAUGUUUCUCGUUUCAUGGGCAAAGAUGGCCAACUCAAAAUCUCCAGUCCCUGAGGACGUCCCAUCUUUCCGUCGUUCAUUGCUAAAUCCUCGCCGGCCCUGUCAGAUCCACCCUUCUCUAAAUGACAUGUACGUCCCUGUUACAUCUCUGCCUCCUCCCAAAAUGGAGACCAAUGAUCAUGAGGAUCAACUCGCCAAUCGCAUAUACUACGUCAAAGCCGAGCAACUUAUCAAGCUCCAAGCACUUGCCAGCUCCAAUGGUUGCAAAAGGUCCAAGCUGGAGUCCUUUUGCGCAUUCUUGUGGAAAAUGGUUGCCGGAAGCGAAACCGGCAAUGAUGUCGAAAAAUUAUGCAAAAUGGGUAUUGUAGUUGACGGAAGGUCUAGAUUAGCCGAUGAAAAUAAGAUGGCUAGUUACUUUGGCAAUGUUUUGUCUAUUCCAUUCGGAGGUAAAGUAAUACAAGAGCUCAAUGAAAAAUCACUGAAUUGGGUAGCUGAUGAAGUUCAUGAGUUUCUGGAAUGUGCGGUAACGAAGGAACAUUUCUUAGGGCUGAUAGACUGGGUGGAGGCUCACCGCCCGGUGCCAGGCUUGGCCAAGAUAUACUGCAGCGGAAGCGAAGAGGGUCCUGCUUUCGUGGUGUCCUCCGGCCAAAGGUUUCCGGUUUCUGAAGUGGAUUUCGGUUGGGGGGCACCGCUUUUUGGGUCGUACCAUUUUCCAUGGGGAGGCAGUUCCGGGUAUGUGAUGCCGAUGCCGAGUCCGGUGGGGAAUGGGGACUGGGUUGUGUACAUGCACAUGUUGAAAGGGCAGUUGGACGUGAUAGAGAAGGAGGGUGGUCAUGUGUUCAAACCCUUGACUUAUGAUUAUCUUGUUUGAUUAAAUUUCAUUAUUGUAAGUAUUUAUAAUUACCAAAUGUUUAUCUCAAUAAUUCUGCAUACACGAUGGUGCAGGUCAAAUUCCUUCUAUGGUAACUUAGGUAUCAUCAAUUGGACAAUUAGGUACCCAAUGUUUAAAAGAGGACAUUUUGAUAUUUUAAGUUAUGCUCAGUUAGACAUUUUAAUACUUUCAUUAAUUUUUCCGUUAAAUAUAAAAGAAAAUUUUGAUUUAUGUCCUAUUUAUAAAUAUAGACAUAAAUAUAUUUGUUUUGCGGGUUAAAUGACCAUUAGUCUUAGGUCUUUAUUAUUUUCUAGGUCUUUUAGGAGCACAUACACGAACAUGAAUUAAUAUUUUUCGUUAGGUUGAUAUAAUAUGACAUAAUUUAAUUUUAUGUUAAGAAAUAUGUAUUUGUGAUUUGAGCACCUCUUACACUACUUUCAGCGAAUUAAUUCGAUAUACCUGAGUGGAGUAGUCUCGUGAGUAUUUAGGUUACACCAACUAAAUUUCUUAAAUACAAAUUCAAUUGUUUUUCGAAGAAAAUAUUAAUACAUCCUCAUAUAGACAAAAUAUAUACUAAUUCAAGUUUUGGAUAUAUAUAUAUAUAUAUAUAUAUAUAUUCGGACCUAAUACACAUAGAAACCAACAAAACAAAUUNNNNNNNNNNNNNNNNNNNNNNNNNNNNNNNNNNNNNNNNNNNNNNNNNNNNNNNNNNNNNNNNNNNNNNNNNNNNNNNNNNNNNNNNNNNNNNNNNNNNNNNNNNNNNNNNNNNNNNNNNNNNNNNNNNNNNNNNNNNNNNNNNNNNNNNNNNNNNNNNNNNNNNNNNNNNNNNNNNNNNNNNNNNNNNNNNNNNNNNNNNNNNNNNNNNNNNNNNNNNNNNNNNNNNNNNNNNNNNNNNNNNNNNNNNNNNNNNNNNNNNNNNNNNNNNNNNNNNNNNNNNNNNNNNNNNNNNNNNNNNNNNNNNNNNNNNNNNNNNNNGGUUCAAAGAAAAAGAUUGUGGCUUUCGUUGCUUGAUCAUUUAUCUUAAUUGGUGUUUGGUAUACAUAUUGGUUACUUUCAUAAUGACUCAUUAGGCUCCGUAAAACUUUAAGUAAACCCUAACACUUCAAACUUUAAUUCCCGUCUAGGGAUGGUAAUAAUCCCCAGCGGGUAGGGUACUCACGGGUAUUCGACCUUAACCGGGGAGAUAUACGGGGAUAAACGGGUGACAGGUAUGGGGAUCCUCAGUAUUCGGAUUUUUGAAUCGGGUAUGGGAUGGGUAUGGUAUUUUGAUAUUCGUCAUCAUCCUACCCAUUAGGUUGGAAAUAUUAUUAAAUACAAUUUGUUAUAUAUAUUUUUUUAAUAUAUAUUAUUUAUUAAUAGAUAUUCAUGUAAACUCUUUUGUAAUAAUUUUUUUACUAUGAUUCUCUUAAUGAAUAUUUAUAGAAACUUUCUUUUUAAUCGAAACUUGUAUUCGUUUUUGUUGGAUUGAAUCAAGAAACUUAUUUAUAUAUGUAUUUAAUUUUAUUUUCAUAUUUCUAUAUUUCAUAAUUAUUUUUAAAAAAUUAAUUAUUUAUAUAAUUGUUAACGGGAAUCGGGGCGGGUAUGGGAACGUAAUCCCCAAAGGGGAUGGGGACGGAGAAUCCCUAUUAUCUAAUUACAGGGAAUGGGGCGGGUACGGAGAUGAGGAAUGAAAAAGGGUACGGGUAUGGUAUUUUGAUCCCCUGACCCUACCCUACCCAUUGCCAUCCCUAGCUCCGUCUGAUGGCUGCGUCUUCUGACGUCAUCGUCGGACAAGAUUAAAUGGGACCAGGCGAUGGUCAAGCCUUGGUUAGGGCGAUGGUGGUGGGUUGAGAGAGGGAGUUGUCAUGGGUGCGGACUGAGGACUGUUAAGAUUUGGGUUACAGAGGUUUUGCACUCCGACGGGAAGCUCAGGUCGUCGACAUUGAAAUGGCAGUCCAGGUAAGGUCGUGGUGUGGUGCGUUGGAUCAACGGGGAGCCUGAUGGGGAAAACGGGGUGGCGGCGGCGAUGACCUUCCUAGAUUGGUGCCUGGUUUGGGUUAGGGUUGAGAGCCCUUGCGCUCUUUUGUUUUGAUAUUCCUAGAAGAUGGGUUGUGUGCUACCCGCUAUGGUGGCACGAACUGUCUUCCCGGUGAGGCAGCAGUGGACGCCGGCUGUGCAGCUUCGCAUCCAAGUUACAACAUUCUCGUUGGGCCAGGCCACUCGCUUACCUGUUGAGGCCCGGUGGAUUUGGGUUAGGUCUAGGCCCUCUUUGGGCCUAUAUUUGGAUCACUUUAGGUUUUCCUUUUUUGGAUUUUUCAGUUUUUUUUUUUUUGGUGUUGUUUGUAUGUCGUCCCUCUCCUUUGGACGAGGGUGUUACGGUGUUGGUUUUGGUUGGUGGUUUUGGUAAGGUCUUGGUUGGUGUCAUGUUCAGGGGCUAUCGGGGUUAAUGUCGGUGUUUUUUUGGUGUCAAUGUAAUGGGGAAGUUGCCCCUGUAUAUAUGCUGGCGAUAUUGGUGUAUAGUGUUUGGUGGAAUUGUUUAUUUUUGAGGUUAGUUGUAAGGAGGUAUCGAGGCUUUUGGAUGGGGUUAGAAGUAGGUUACAUUUGAACCCUUUUCGGUUCAGGUUCAUUGUAAUCGCUGGUAUAUGGGUACGGAGGAGUAUGAGGGCUUGUUGUCCAUCAUCGAGAUCUCUCAUGGUUGUAAUGAUUGGUUAUUAUUGUACAAAAUUUUACCUUUUAAAAAAAGAAAAAAGAAUGACUUAUUUGUAUAAUUAAGUUGGGUUCGAAGUGAUCGUGCUAAUAGUUUUCAUUUUGCAAUUAGAUUUUUAUACUAUGAAGUGUAUAUAUGUCAGUUGGGUAUCGAAUUAAAUUAAGUGAAUUAACAUUACGAAAUCUGUCAAAAACGAACCGUUCAUGUAAAUCAUGAUUACGGAAGCUCAAAUGAUCUUCAAAUUGGAUGAAACUUUGCAAGAAUGAUCUAUAUACUAUAUUCUAGACAUUGAACGAUGGAGAUGUGAAAAUGUGGCCUAAAAGUGAGCCAAAUAAGGAGUCGUAUACUUUAAUUUCAAAAUGGUGUCCCGCUCUUGAUUAUAUAUACACACACACACAUACACACACAAUUAUUAUCAGGUCCAGAUAUCCUUAUUUAUUCAAAAGUUACAGAUUUUCUUAAUUAUUAUCAUGUAUGAAUCGUGUAUACACAUAUGAGUUUUGGUGCUUCCUAUGCUCUAAAUUGGCUCCAACUUUCUCUUUCUUACGAUAUGGAGGGAUUGUUCUAAUGCAAGUUUUAUGGAGAUCUUAGUUUAAACUUCGUACAAAACUCUCCUACCUCAUCUUGAAAUCUACAACCUCUCUCUGUGUCAGUUUCUUCUUUAUCUUCUUCUUUCUCCCUCCUUCACUUUCUCUUUCUCUUUCUCUUUCUCUUCGAUCCCUUUCCCUUUCCCUUUUCUUUUUCUUAAUUAUCUUCCUCCCUUUCCCCUGUUCGCCUUUCUCUGUCUCCUUUUCCCCCACCGUCAACAACGACCCAUAUCCUUCUUACCUCACCACAAAAGAUAAGACCAGCCUACCAAAUAAUAUCAUUGUAGGUGACUGACAACCAAUAACUACCAAUUUAGCUAUUUCUCAUGUCCAAAGCAAAGAUUCCGGGCUGCUAAGCAGUUAGUAACUUAAUUAGUACAUUGUUUAACGUAAGCAGUUGGCUAAGCUCAUUUCUCGUUUCGGCAUUGAUACAGCUAGGGUUUUAAUAAGUCAUAAAAUUUGUGACAUUAAUCCUAUGUGUCAUGCCAUGUAAGUAUAUAAAAAUAUUUAUUUCUGAUUCCACAUUAUAUAUCUUACUAAAUCAUUAUAUUGCAUUACUAAUUUUACAAUUUCUAUUUCUUUUUAGAUUUUAAGAGGUAAAUCAAUGAUAUUAAUGAACUUUGUUAGGUAAUAUAAACAAAUAUUAUGUAUUAAUAGCAACCACUAAUUAUGUGUAGAUCUAACUCUUUCCAAAUAUUAAUUAGUUUUAUAAAAUAUCCUUGAAACCCAAACCCUAAAAAACCACUAAUUGUAAAAGUAAAAUGAUAAUCGAAAUAAUCUACUCAUUUCAUUAGAAAUCUUCUUUAUAUAGAGGUGAAUUACAACGGUAAUUAUACCCAUAUAAUGACUAAUAUAAUUAAUUGAGCUGUUACAUCCGUUGAUCAAUAACUUCUUUAUUUACUCUCGUCAGUUACUUUGACGAAGACACACUUAAGGUAUUUUUCUUUCAACACUUCUCUUUGUGCCAAGUCAAAGUUAAAAUGGUGCAUGAGGUGUUGCCUCGUUAAAAACUUUGUCAAGUAACAAAAUCCAGUGGGUAAAAUAAAUCUUGGUCGAAGGAAAAAAGAGCAUAACACACUUAUAAUAGUGUAAGUGCGUUAGACUCCCCCUGAAGUCUACAGUCCCCCUGAUCUUUACAUCAAUCAGGGGAGCUAGGAACAUCUUCGCAUUCUUAAUUAUGUUUCUUAAUAUUGUGCAGCGAAAAUCUUUGAAAUCUUGAUGUUUGUGAACAACUUUCUCGAGAGUGAUUUGGACCAAAAGACAUGAUUUGGCUCAAAUGUAGAAGUGCAUGUAUGCCGAAAACUGGGCACUUUCUUCUAAUCUAGAAAGACAAUGAUAUAUAAGCUGAGAUCAGUUUUUGAUGAGCUCCAAGGUAUACUUCAGUUCCAUAUUCCAUUGGGUAUCAAUUUGGUUGGUAGAAUUGGUUAUCAACAGAGAGGGGCCAAGUAUCCCCAUCCAACUUCUCCCAUAGAACUGUUAGCUGAAAUGUCCAAUGGUAGUUUGUUUCUGUAAAGUAGGGAUAAGGUCGUGUCAUACUGAAGUAGCCUUCUGAUAGGGGUAAAUGAAAGCUAACAUAUUAUGAGGAGAAUAUACGGGACGAGACGGGUCUUACGAGCCUCAAAUUUUCAGUCCAUGGCCAACGGCCCGUUUCGUGUUUUAUCUAAUGGGACGGGACGAGCCUAGUGUUUUUACAUUUAGAUCUCGUCUCAUCCUGUCAAAUUUCGGAACAGGAUUAGGAUUUCGGUUUUUUAUGCCCAGCCCUAAGUUUAAGAUUAGUAUCGAUAUACGACUACUAAUUCUGAGCAUUUAAGCCAAGGCCAAGAUGCAUUCUGAUCACUUAAUUCAAAGUUUUGUUGUGAAAAUACUUUAUCAUCAACACUGCUUUGUCCUUUGGAUUGAUACCACAUGCUUUGUCCUUUGGAUUGAUACCACACAUUCUGUAAAAUUCCUGGAUUGAUACCACACAAUCCGCAAUAAUACUGGGAGUGAUACGACACAAUCCGAACUCUAGGAUUAAUACUACACAAUCCAUAUUAACACCAGGGUUGAUACGACAUAACCCAGGCCUAGAACGCUCUUAGUUUUAGGAUUUUCCUGCACAAACAAAAUCUCAAGCAAGAGAAUGGGGAUGAAGAAGGGNNNNNNNNNNNNNNNNNNNNNNNNNNNNNNNNNNNNNNNNNNNNNNNNNNNNNNNNNNNNNNNNNNNNNNNNNNNNNNNNNNNNNNNNNNNNNNNNNNNNNNNNNNNNNNNNNNNNNNNNNNNNNNNNNNNNNNNNNNNNNNNNNNNNNNNNNNNNNNNNNNNNNNNNNNNNNNNNNNNNNNNNNNNNNNNNNNNNNNNNNNNNNNNNNNNNNNNNNNNNNNNNNNNNNNNNNNNNNNNNNNNNNNNNNNNNNNNNNNNNNNNNNNNNNNNNNNNNNNNNNNNNNNNNNNNNNNNNNNNNNNNNNNNNNNNNNNNNNNNNNNNNNNNNNNNNNNNNNNNNNNNNNNNNNNNNNNNNNNNNNNNNNNNNNNNNNNNNNNNNNNNNNNNNNNNNNNNNNNNNNNNNNNNNNNNNNNNNNNNNNNNNNNNNNNNNNNNNNNNNNNNNNNNNNNNNNNNNNNNNNNNNNNNNNNAAAUGUACCUUUCAAAUCUUCAAAUAAAUGUAUUUCGGAAGCCUAAUUCGGUCGGAAAAACCUUCACCGGAGGUGGUUAGGGACGGCGGCUGGAGACGUCGGGGUUGGCCGGAAAAUUUGAUGGGCUGGGGGGCCGAUAGGCUUGCCAAUUAGAUAGAAAAACAGGGCUUGGAGAUUUUUUUUCUUGGUUAUUAGCUCAUAGUUAAAGCAAAGUGUAUGAUAACAUGUUUUAAGAUGAAUUAUUAAGAGAAUGAUAGAUAGUAAAUAUAAUAGAGUAUCAUCCUCUUAUUCGUAUGAUGAUCAGAGCGCUUUAUAUACGGAAUUACAUAACACCUAUAGGUGUUGUAUAAGGAAACAUAUCUUAAUAUCCUAUCAUUAUACGGAAUUGGGAUUCCUCCUUUGACUAGCAUUAGACCAAGACACACACAACUUGAAUUUUCCUAAUAUAUAUAUAUAUAUAUAUAUAUAGUUCCUAUCUAGAGCGAAGGUUCGCUCUGAAAUUAAUGUGUGAAGUUCCUUAUUUGACUAACUUUUUGGUCAUAUUUCCACAUCUCAACCGUCCAGUUUGUAGAAUCAAAUGCAUAGAUCACUUCUACUGCUGCAAAGUUUCAUCGAAUUUGAUGAUCGUUUGGGUGUUCAUAAUCGUGAUUUACAUAAACAGUUAUGGUCAGACAAGUUUAUGAUCCGUUCAUUGAUUUAAUCUAAUUCGGUACCAAAACGAUUAUCAAUUUGAAUGAAAUUUUGUAGGAAUGAUCUAUACAUUAGUAUCAAUAAACUGAAUGAUGGAGAUGUGGAAUUAUGACCGAAAAGUUAGUCAAAUAAGGAACUUCACACAUUAAUUUCAGAGUGAAGCUUCGCUCUGGAUAAGAACUGUAUAUAUAUAUGGGUCCGGUUCCUGGGACAUUACAUUUGACACUAAUUUUGACACCGCUUUUUGGCCAUUAGAUUUUUUAAAAAUCGAUGGACUAGAUCAAUUGUAGAUAUGAUGUCAACCUAUAAAAACUAACGUGGCAAUUGACGUGACGUGACAUUACUUAUUUAUAACAAAUCAAAUCAAAUUAAAAACAAAAAAAAUAAAAUCAAAACCUAAAAUUUGAAAUCUGAAAAUCAAAAUCGAUAAGUGCGAUAAAAAGAAGAAAGAAAAAAAUUUGUUUCCGUAGUCAUUGGUCUAUGACAACUAAAACCGAUUAGUUCAUAGAUAUUUUGUAUAUAUUGUCCAAUUGAUUUAUCAUACAAAAGUCAAUCAUUUUAAUUCUGAGAACUAGUACGUCUCCCUUAAAAUGUUUAGGUAAGUACUUGAAUGCUACAGACUUUUUAUUUCUUAUAGUUUAAGUACUUCAUUAGUUUGUUGCAGCAAGAUUCAAGAGUACUAAUAAUCUAUAAAUAUUGAACUUGGUAUAAGAGAAACCCGAAAGCAAAGUACUCUUCCCCUAAAGGAAUCACCCUUGUAUAUCAGGCUAUGUCUUGCUGGAGUUUCAUCAAUGUCCUCCCAAUACAGAUUUGUUCGUUCUUUGUUCAUUUGUAUUUCUCUUCUUUCUCUUGAUCUGUGUGUUCUUCUGGGGUCUUCUGCGUUAUGUCGUUCUUUUUUUUUUUUCUUUCUUUCUUCUUUUUAUAGCAAUGAUCGAUUUUGAUUUUCAUAUUUCAGAUUUUAAGUUCUGAUUUUGUUUUUUUUGUUUUUAAUUUGAUUUUAUUUGUUAUGAAAUAAGUAAUGCCACGUCAAUUGCCACAUCAUUUUUUAUAGGUUGGCAUCAUAUAUAUCUACAACUGAUCUAGUCCAUCGAUUUUUUUAAAAUCUAAUGGCCAUGAAACAAUGUCAAAAUUAGUGUCAAAUGUAAUGUCCCAGGAACUGGACCCUAUAUAUAUUAUGAUUAGAUGAUUUAAAUAUAAACAAUUUAAUUAAGAACUCAUUCAUAUUGUCCGUAAAUCAUUGAAGUUAUACGUUCAUAUCUUUUUAAAAUUAUUAUUAGAUUACAAUAAUUUAAGAAAAUAAAAAAAUAAUAAUAAAGAAAAAAAAUACUGAACUGGUUCAUAUUGACAAGUUACUAGAGAAGACUAAAUUUCAACGUCAUAUGUGCUGAACAAAUUAAUUCCUUAAUUUAAUGAGUGAUUACAGCUGAGUUCAAAACAGGUAAAACUUCAUUUUCAAAUUACAUUGUUUGGUUUGCUGUUAUUCUAAGUAUAUGAAUUCCUAUUAAUUGCUAGCUUGCUGGUGUUCUUUCUAAUAAUUGUUGGGUGGUGUUUUGAUUCACUUUGAUGCAAUCUAUUAUAUUUAGUUGCCACUGAACAAGAAUUUUAGAAAUUUUAUGGUUUUGCUCAACUUUUGGUAAUUUUCUUGGAUUUGUCUAGUUCUCUUCAUGUUAUGAAAAUUUUGGAGUUUUGAUCCAUUUUUCUGGAAAUUUUUUGAGAAUUGUUGUUUGAUGAAAUACUAGUUUAAGGUUUAGUUUAGAUAUUCUGUUAAAUUUUUAAGGCAUGUGUUUAAAUGACGAAUUUACUCUCUCUUAGGGUGUAGGAUUUGAAAUGUGGGUCAUUUUUGUCUGCUCCACAUUAGAGCAUGACGUCAUGUUUAGCUCGAGAUUCAAAUUUUGAUCGAGAUUGAUGUCUUUUUAAAAGUUUAGGUAUGAAACUGAUUUUUUUUUAAAAAAAAGAUGAGAUAUCAAACUGAUUUUAGAUCUAAAGUUUACAUUAAGAGUGUAAACUGAAGUUAUCCCUUUAAGAAAAUAAAUAUAAUAAUAAAGAAAAAAAAAACUGAACUGGUUCAUGCAUAUUGACAAGUUACUAGAGAGAAGAAUAAAUCUCAACGUCAUAUGUGCUGAUGAACAAAUUAAUUUAAUGAGUGAUUAUAGCUGAGUUUCAGCAUUAUGUUUGUAGAAAUAUUAUUUCACUCUAUGACUGCGCUGCAUAUAAAUUGACUGCCUCAUCUUGCGUCCUCCUCACAAGUAACCAAAUCAAAGAAGCACGUACAUGACCAACUUACUGCACCGGCCAGGUUAUAGAUUCAGAUCGCUAGAUUACGAACCCUGUACAACGGUUCCGAGUCAGAAGUAGAAUUUGUCUCCACUGUAACAACAGAGAAAAAGUAGAAACCAGCCCCCCGGGAAGCAACAUUGUAACAACCCUUAUUUGUUUUCAUUGUUCAUUGUUCCUUACUUCAUUGUUCAUUGUAGGUCAUGACUCGCAACCAAUAACUGCCAAGUUUAGUUAUUUCUCAUGUUCAAAGAUUCUGGGUUGUCGACCCAUAAGAAGUUAGUUCAUUGUUCAACGGAAGUACGUAGCUGGCUAAGCUCAGUUCUCGUUUUUCCCUUCCACAAGCCUACCUAUAUUUUUUUUUUUGAGGAAAAAACCUAUAUGUUUAUCGAAUUUAUGUAUUUUUGAUCGUCAACAUAAUUUAUCAAAUGAUAUUUAAGUUUAUAAAGGUUUUGAUUAGUUGAUUCAAACUUAAGCCAUUUAAGAACAUGUUCCAAUCAGAUUGUGCUGAACAAAGUGAUGUAAUGAAUGAUUAUAUAUAGCUGAGUUUCGGCAUUAUGUUCUUAGAAAUGUUAUUUCACUCUCUAAAUUAACUUCCUCGUCUAUCGAGUGUCCUCCUCACAAACCAAAGUAUACCAACAAACCAAACGAAACCGAACACAAUUAGCAAAUAACAAAGAAACACAUGACUAACUAAUUACUAGUUACUACACCAGAUUAUAGACUCCGAUCACUAUAUUACCAACCCUGUAAAUGCAUAACGGUUCUCAUAAGAAGAAGAAGUUUCCUCCACUGUAACAACUAGCUAGCUCCAGUGGUUUAGGUCUCCAGGAACCCUUUUUUUUUUUUUGGUAAGCGUAGAGGGACUAACUCACACUACAAUACAUAUCUUUUUUUGCGACGAACAUUUUCCGACCAAACAAAUUAUUGGUUGGAAAUAACACAAUUUCCGACGAGUCGUCGGAAAUGGUCGGAAAUACAAUUUUUUGAUGAAAAUUAUUUCCGACGAAAAUCAAUAUGUCGGUAAUGGUCGUCGGAAAUAAUUAUAAUUUGGCGACAAAAGUUCCCGCUAAUUAUUUUACCGACGAGGUCCAAUGUGGUCGGAAAAUAAAUGAUCAUUUUCCAACGAGAUUUUCUUUUGUUAUAAAGUCGUCUUAAAAUAAAAGGUUUAAUUCCGACCACACAUAAUAAGUUGUUGGAAAUAUAAAAAAAAGUAUAACCAAAUUUAAGGACAAAAAAACUAAAUUUCACUUCAAAAACAGUGUUUGAUCAUUUGAAGCAACAAAGUAUAUAUAGGCGUUGCUAAAAAGAAUAGAAGAGUACACUGUACACAUCUAUUAUAUAAUAAUACUUUUUUUUAAAAACGAAAUAGACUAUUUGCCUUGAUCAGGGCCCAAACGUUAUCGAAAAUAUGUGAUUUUUUCUACCAUAACCGUAUUUCACUAUACCUCUCAUAUCCUACAGCCAAUUUUUCAAAAUUCUAUUUGCAAAAUAUAGUUGUUUCACAAAGAUGUACACUUAUAUUAAACCUACUAAACAAUUUAUACCACAGUAGGCACGUUAGGGUUCCUAUGAUUAAAAUUCACAAAAAUAAAUUUUGACCGUCUGAUGUGAUCACUGUAAUUAAAUGUCUAUUGAAAAAAAUUCACCUAUUUUUGAUAACGUUUAGGUCUUGAUCCGCACGGUCAACCCUAAAUUAAUGUCCAUUAUCACACAAAAACGUUCUCACCUACCACCUUUGGACAUAUUUUGGUUGAUUAUUCUACACACACACUCUCACGUAGAUGAGAUGUAACAACCCAUGUAAAAAUUUGGGGAAGUUUACCUUCCAACGAUAAGGCUCCCCAUAUGAAUAAAUAAACGUAAAUAGGGUUGACCACCUUGAUCGGGGCUUAAACGAUAUCAAAAAUUUGUGAUUUUUCUGCCAUAGCCGUAUUUCACUAUACCUCUCACAUCCUAUGGCUAAUUUUUCAAAAUUCUAUUUGAAGAAUAUAGUUGCUUCACAAAGAUGUACACUUGCAUUAAACCUAAUAAACAAGUCAUACCACACUAGUAAACACGUUGAAGUUCCUAUGACUAAAAUUCAUAAAAUUAAAUUUGACCGUCUAAUGUGACAAGUACGUGUAAUUAAAUAUGGCUAUUGAAAAAAAUUCAUCUAUUUUUGAUAACGUUUAGGUCUUGAUCUGCACGGUCAACCCUAAAUUAACGUCCUUUAUCAUACGAAAACGUUCUCAUCUACCCCCUUUUGACAUAUUUUGGUUGAUUUUUUUGCACACACACUCUAACGUAGUUGAGUUGUAGCAGCCAAUGUAAAAAUUUGAGGAAGUUUACAUCCCGAUGAUAGAGCUCCCCAUAGGAGAGAAUAAACGUAAAUAGAGUUGACCGGCUUGAUCGGGGCCUAAACGUUAUCGAAAAUAUAUGAUUUUUCUACCAUAUGCGUAUUACACUGUACCUCUCACAUCAUGUGGCCGAUUUUUCAAAACUCUAUUUGCAAGAUAUAGUUGUUUCACAAAGAUAUAUAUUUGUAUAAAAUCUACUAAACCAGUUAUACCACAAUAGUAGUCACGUUGAAGUUCUAUCUAAUGACUAAAAUUCAGAAAAUAAAAUUACUCUGAAAAAGAUUUCGAUCUCAUCAAUAAAAAUUAAAAAGAUUAUUGAGCUCUUAUCUAUAAAGAUUAUUUUUUUUUAAAGAAAAAAUAAGAAUAAUAUAGGGAAUAAAUAGGUACUAAGAAAAAAACACUUGUUCUCAAUUUUGGCUGAAAAUUCAAGUUUGCCGCUAAACUACUUCUCAAUUUUAGCAUGAUUUUUUUAUUUGAUGAUGUGAAUAGGUGAUUUGGCAUGUCACCUAAGAUUAAUGCCAUAAAUCUUAGACCUUAAUAAGGCCUAGAAACAUUUUCCUUAAUAUAUAAUUAUAGUGAGCUUUAGUUAGGAAUUCCAAUUCCACUCUCGAACUACUGCCUAUAAAUUCACUGCUCAUCUAGUGUCUUCCUCAUAAACCAAACCAAACCAACCAAACUUAACUAGCAGAUAACAAGCCUUCAAAAAAAAAAAACUAGCAGAUAACAAAGAAACAUGGCUGGAGGCAGAGAAUUCAAGGUGAGUACGAGGAAGCAAGAUGCGGUGGCCGCUGCACUGCCAUUGCAAGAGCACCGGCUACCACUCUCCAACCUCGACUUGCUUCUGCCACCAGUCGAUGUGGGAGUGUUCUUCUGCUACAAGAACCACAGCAGCCCCUCUGUGGCCGCCUCCAGGGUCGGGGUUCUGAAGAAGGGCUUGGCCCAAGCCCUGGUGACAUACUAUGCCUUUUCGGGUGAGGUGGUGGCCAACUCUGUUGGGGAGCCUGAGAUUCUGUGCAACAACCGUGGGGUUGAUUUCACUGAAGCUUUUGCUGACGUUGAACUUAAAGAGCUCAACCUUCAUAACCCUGAUGAGAGCAUUGAAGGAAAAUUGGUUCCCAACAAGAAGCAUGGGAUUCUGGCUGUCCAGGUUGAUAUCCGACUCCUGUUCCCUCUCACUUCAACGUUUUAAGUUUUGUUUUUUGUUUAUGAAAUUUGUAGUUUUGAACCAGAAGUUGACCCAUUUCCUCUAGCAGAAGUAAUCAAAUUUCUCUAGUUGAAUGUACAAAUUUGCAGGCAACUGAACUCAAGUGUGGAGGGAUGGUGGUGGCAUGCACAUUUGACCAUCGCAUAGCAGAUGCCUACUCAGCCAACAUGUUUCUGGUUUCAUGGGCAAAGAUGGCCAACUCAGAAUCUCCAGUCAUUAUCGUACCUUCUUUUCGUCGUUCUUUGUUAAACCCUCGCCGUCCCGGUCAGAUCCAUCCUUCCCUAAAUGACCUGUACGUCCCUGUCACAUCUCUGCCCCCUCCUCCCAAAAUGGAGACCAAUGAUCAUGAAGACCGACUUCUCAGUCGCAUAUACUACGUUAAAGCAGAGCAACUUAUCAAGCUCCAAGCACUUGCGAGCUCCAGUGGUUGCAAAAGGUCCAAGCUGGUGUCCUUUUCUGCAUUCUUGUGGAAAAUGGUUGCCGGAAGCGAAACCGGCAAUGAUGUCGAAAAAUUAUGCAAAAUGGGUAUUGUAGUUGACGGAAGGUCUAGAUUAGCCGAUGAAAAUAAGAUGGCUAGUUACUUUGGCAAUGUUUUGUCUAUUCCAUUCGGAGAUAAAGUAAUACAAGAGCUCAAUGAAAAAUCACUGAAUUGGGUAGCUGAUGAAGUUCAUGAGUUUCUGGAAUGUGCGGUAACGAAGGAACAUUUCUUAGGGCUGAUAGACUGGGUGGAGGCUCACCGCCCGGUGCCAGGCAUGGCCAAGAUAUGCUGCAGCGGAAGCGAAGAGGGUCCUGCUUUCGUGGUGUCCUCCGGCCAAAGGCUUCCGGUUUCUGAAGUGGAUUUCGGUUGGGGGGCACCGCUUUUUGGGUCGUACCAUUUUUCAUGGGGAGGCAGCUCCGGGUAUGUGAUGCCGAUGCCGAGUCCGGUGGGGAAUGGGGACUGGGUUGUGUACAUGCACAUGUUGAAAGGGCAGUUGGACGUGAUAGAGAAGGAGGGUGGUCAUGUGUUCAAGCCCUUGACUUAUGAUUAUCUUGUUUAAUUAAAUUUUAUUAUUGUAAGUAUUUAUAAUUACCAAAUGUUUAUCUCAAUAAUUCUGUAUACACGGAGAUUGAAGUUAAAUUCCUUCUAUAUUGUACCUUAUGUAUGAUCAAUCAGGUACCCAAUGUUUAGAAGAGGGUACCUCAAGUUAUGCUCAGUUUGACAGUUUAAUAUUUCCGUUAAUUUUUUCGUUAAAUAUAAGAGAAAAUUUUGAUUUAUGUCCUAUUUAUAAAUAUAGACAUAAAUAUAUUUGUUUUGUGGGUUAAAUGACCAUUAGUCUUGGGUCUUUAUUAUUUUCUAGGUCUUUUAGGAGCACAUGAACAUGAAUUAAUAUUUUUGGUUAGGUUGAUAUAAUAUGACAUAAUCUAAUUUUAUGUUAAAAAAAUAUGUAUUUGUGAUUUGACCACCUAUUACACUACUUUCAGUGAAUUAAUUCGAUAUAUCUCAGUGGAGUAGUCUUGUGAGUGUUUAGGUUACACCGACUAAAUUUCUUAAAUAUAAAAUUCAAUUAUGUUUGAAGAAAAUAUUAAUACAUCCUUAUAUAGAUAAAUAUUAAUUCAAUUUUUGGAUAUAUAGUGAAAUAUAUACAGUUGUCUUCCAGAGCAGGACACCACUUUGAAAUUAAAGCGUGGUGCUCCUCAUUUUGCUCACUUUCAGGUCGCAUUUCCACAACUGCACAUUUUAGUGUCUAAAUGUGUAGAUCAUUUCUGUAAAGUUUCAUCAAAUUUGGAGAUCAUUUGAGCUUCCGUAAUUGUGAUUUACACGAAUAGUUUUGUUCUGUUUGGACAGUUUUUGUUAUGUUGAUUUAUUGAAUCUAAUUCGGUACCCAAAUGAUCUACAAAUUAGAUGAAACUGUGUAGGAAUGAUAUACACACUAUGUUAUAGACAUAAUACGGUUAAUAUGUGAAAAUGCGACUUGAAAAUGAACGAAAUAAGAAGGUUCACACUUUAAUUUCAAAGAGAGACACCGCUCUAAAAGGAAAUUGUGUAUACACAUAUGUCAUAUGAGUGUUUAGGUGCUUGCUAUGCUCUAAAUUGGCUCUAACUUUCUCUUUCUUAUGAUAUAUAUGAUGCAAGUUUUACGGAGAUAUUAGUUUAAACUUCGGACAAAACUCUCCUACCUCAUCUUGAAAUCUACAACCCAUAUCUCUCUCUCUCUCNNNNNNNNNNNNNNNNNNNNUACUACUACUACUACUACUCUACUACUACUACUACUCUCUCUACUCUCUCUCUCUCUCUCUCUCUCUCUCUCUCUCUCUCUCUCUCUCUCUCUCUCUCUCUCUCUCUCUCUCCUCAGUUUCUUUUUAUCUUCUUCUUUCUCCGUCCUUGACCUUCUCUUUCUCUUUCUCUUUCUCAUCCCUUUCCCUUUUCUUAAUUUUCUUUCUCCCUUCCCCUGUUUGCCUUUUCUCUGUCUCCUUUUUCCCCCACGUACCGUCAACAAUGACCCAAAUCCUUCUUAUCUCACCACAAAAGAUAAGACCAGCCUACCAAAUAAUAUCAUUGUAGGUGACUGACAACCAAUAACUAUCAAUUUAGCUAUUUCUCAUGUCCAAAGCAAAGAUUCCGGGCUGCUAGCAGUUAGUAACUUAAUUAGUACGUACAUUGUUUAACGUAAGCAGUUGGCUAAGCUCAUUUCUCGUUUAGGCAUUACAGCUAGGGUCUUAAUAAGGCUUAAAAUUUGUGACAUUAAUCCUAUGUGUCAUGUUAUAUAAGUAUGUAAAAAUAUUUACUUCUGAUUCCAGAUAAUAUAUCUUACCAAAUCAUUAGAUUACAUUACAAAUUUGACCAUUUCUAUUUCCCUUUAGAUUUUAAGAGGUGAAUCAAUGAUAUUAAUGAACUUUAUUAGCCUCUGCAGCGAUGUGCCUCUUAUUAAAGACUUUUAACCUUGUAGGCAUUUGCAGCUGCUAUAUGUGAUCUCUGUCACUUUGGCAAUAUCUUUAAACCCAUCAGGCAUUGAAACUGUUAUGUUCUAGAUAUCGAUUAUGUGGGGAUUAGGAUGAGACAGAGUGGGGACAACCACGACAAUCCUUGUCGUUCUCUUAGAAAAUCAUUUUUCUUAUCUCCCCCUAACUACGAGAAGACUAUCUCAUCAAAGUGACAUUCCGCAAGUCUAGCGAUAAAGAGAUGACUUGUCAAGAGUUUCAAAUGGCGGAUAAUUAUUGGAGUUUCAUAUCCAACACAUAAAUAUUCGUUUCUGAGGACCCAAUUUUGAUGCGUUGUGGGGGUGCAAUAAGCACAUAUGUUGCACAACCAAGUAUGCGUAAAUCUUAGGCUCAUGUCUAGUUACCAACUGGUACACAGGGAAUGGUUGGCUAGGAGUGGGCUUAAAAAUGAAUAAGUAAGGUUGCAUGCAAUAUUGCAUAACCCCAAGCAGAUAUAGGCAAGUUGGUGCGCAUAACCAGUACCCUAGCCAUCAUUUAUGGUGCUUUCUGCGAGACCAUUUUUGUAUGCAAAUGGGGUACAAGAUGCUCUACAUUGAUCAUGAUAGACAUACAAUAACCAUCAAAUCCUUUUGAUGUGAACUCUCAUCAUUGUCAAGUCCUAUAGACUUGGUGAUUAGGGUGAUAAGCCCUUAAACACAUAAUAUUUGCUAAGAGUUUUGCAAAUGUAGUAUUUCUUGUGAAUAAUAAUUCGACAUAUGACUAGUGUGUCGAUACGUCCUCUAGAUACAUAAUGUACUUUAAUGGUCCGCAUUUCUGGAUGGAUAAGUCCACAGUCAUCACAUUGUAUUCUUUGUAAGAAUGGAAUAUAUUGGUUUAUAUCUUUAGCAUAAGGAGGUCUCGAUCUUAUUUUUUUGCUAAAGUAUAGACUUUGCAAAACGAGUAAUUUUGCCUUUGAAAUAAUCAAUAAGGCAUAAUGGGAGGCAUGUUGUGUAUCACGUGCUUUAGAGUGCAAUGACCGCAUUAUAGCAACAUUAGCUAGAACUGGCCAGUGUCUGGUGGUCAGAGUCGGUGUCGUCACCUUGCAGGGUAACAGAGUUUUGUCCCAUUUUAUUAUUCACUCAAAGGAUAGGAUAUCCGUGUGAGUUCUUUAAAAUACGAAUCAUCAUGUCAUGACCAAGAAGUUUCUUGGUGGUCAUGCUAAAGUCUGUGUAAGUCCCUAUCCCAUGUUUCAAUGUAGGUGACUAGUUAGAUUUUUUAAAAUGCGUGUCCUACCACAUUUUAUUUAAGGUAAUAUCAUUCCAUUCUCACAUUAGAUUUUCAUAUGAUGAUCGUUGGUACGAAUUUCUUGAAACUUUAACAUGGUUUGAUUAGUGUGGUUAAUUCCACUGUCAGCCAAGCACUUGGUUUUCUUCUCGAUACAUUCCUUACAAGUAUAUAAGAGUUUAUUAAAAUAUACCUCGUAUUCUUUGGAGUAUUUCGAGUCUCAUCUAGCGUCCUCCUCACAAAUAAACCAAACAUACUUAGCAAAUAACAAAGAAAUUAUCCAAAAAAAAAAAAAAAAGCAAAUAACAAAGAAACACGCGUACAUGACCAACUUACUGCACCGGCUAGAUUAUAGAUUCAGAUCACUAGAUUACGAACCCUGCACAAUAGUUCCGAGUCAGAAGUAGAAUUUUUCUCUACUGUAACAACGGAGAAAAAGUAGAAACCAGCCCCCCGGCAAGCAACAUUGUAACAACCCUUAUUUGUUUUCAUUGUUCAUUGUAGGUCAUGACUCGCAAUCAAUAACUGCCAAGUUUAGUUAUUUCUCAUGUCCAAAGAUUCUGGGUUGUCGAACCCAUACAUAAUAAGUUAGUUCAUUGUUCAACGGAAGUACGUAGCUGGCUAAGCUCAGUUCUCCUUUUUCCCUUCCACAAGCCUACCUAUAUUUUUUAUUUUUAUUUUGAGGCAAAAACCUAUAAGUUUAUCAAAUUUAUGUAUUUUUGAUCGUCAACAUAAUUCAACAUCAAAUGAUAAUUAAGUAUAUAAAGGUUUUGAUUAGUUGAUUCAAACUUAAGCCAUUUAAGAACAUGUUCCAAUCAGAUUGUGCUGAACAAAUUGAUGUAAUGAAUGAUUAUAUAUAGCUGAGUUUCAGCAUUAUGUUCUUAGAAAUGUUAUUUCACUCUCUAAAUUAACUUCCUCGUCUAGCUAGUCCUCCUCACAAACCAAAGCAUACCAAACCAAACGAAACCAAACACAAUUAGCAAAUAAUAAAGAAACACAUGACUAACUUACUAGUUACUACACCAGAUUAUAGACUCCGAUCACUAUAUUACCAACACUGUAAAUGCAUAACGGUUCUCAUAAGAAGAAGAAGAAGUUUCCUCCACUGUAACCACUAGCUGGCUCCAGUGGUCCAGGUCUCCAGGAACUAACAAAUAUGCAAGUUGAAUUAACUCCUUACUUUGGUUUGCUGUUCAGAUAAUAGCUUAUAAGUUAUAAUUAAAUUUAGCCUUACCUCAAAUCGUCAUUGUCGCGGACUCACAUGAACUAGUUGUUUAAGUUAAUUUAUUACCACACCAACUUUUCCAAAGAUGUGAGCCUAUAUAAGUAAUCCAGAAGAAGUUGGUACAUUGUGAUGAAAAGGUAAAUAGUUUGGUAGCUCGAUAUUUUAUUGCUUAAGUUGCUUUCACCUCUAAAACCUACCCAUGCAGCUCAGCUUACUGCUUAUUGCUAUACUAAUCAAGGCCCAUUUAGGAUAACUUCGAUUUAAAAAAAAAAAAAUUAGGAGUGUUUGGUAAAUCUAAAAUGGAUCAGUUUUUAGAAGCAACAUCGAUGUAAGCAAUCAUCUAGAUUCACCCCUUAAAGGAAAAAGAAAUGGUAAAACUGGUAAUGCAAGCUUAUAAUUUGACAAGAUGAAAAAAAAAAAAAACUUAUGAUUUGACAAGAUAAAUUAUGUGAAAUCAGAAAUAAAUAAUUUUACAUACUUACGUGACAAUACUUACAUGACAUGAUUAAUGUCACAAAUUUUAGGCCUAAAAUCCUAUAUCAGUGCUCUUUCUCGAUUGAAAUUUGCAUCGUAACAGGUGUAAUAGUAUUACAAAGAACUACCAACCUGAUUUGGUGAACACAUUUAAUUAAUUAAUAAUUACAGUGAGUUUUAGUUAGGAAUAUUAUUCCACUCUCGAACUACACACUGCCUAUAAAUUCACUCCUCAUCUAGUGUCUUCCUCAUAAACCAAACCAAACCAACCAAACUUAACUAGCAGAUAACAAAGAAACAUGGCUGGAGGCAGAGAAUUCAAGGUGAGUACGAGGAAGCAAGAAGUGGUGGCCGCUGCACUGCCAUUGCAAGAGCACUGGCUACCACUCUCCAACCUCGACUUGCUUCUGCCACCAGUCGAUGUGGGAGUGUUCUUCUGCUACAAGAACCACAGCAGCCCCUCUGUGGCCGCCUCCAGGGUCGGGGUUCUGAAGAAGGGCUUGGCCCAAGCCCUGGUGACAUACUAUGCCUUUUCGGGUGAGGUGGUGGCCAACUCUGUUGGGGAGCCUGAGAUUCUGUGCAACAACCGUGGGGUUGAUUUCACUGAAGCUUUUGCUGACGUUGAACUUAAAGAGCUCAACCUUCAUAACCCUGAUGAGAGCAUUGAAGGAAAAUUGGUUCCCAACAAGAAGCAUGGGAUUCUGGCCGUCCAGGUUGAUAUCCGACUCCUGUUCCCUCUCACUUCAACGUUUUAAGUUUUGUUUUUUGUUUAUAAAAUUUGUAGAUUUGAACCAGAAGUGACUCAUUUCCUCUAGCAAAAGCAGCCUAGAAACUUAAAACCAUUAAGGACAAAGGAUGAUAAAACACAACUAGCUACAAAGAACAAAGAGUACGUAUUAAACGUAAAUGCUAGCCCAACUGACCAGGCUACAUGAUUACACUACCAAAAAUUAGGAUUGACUUCUGCACUAUAUAUGGUAAAGCUUUUAGGGCAUCCAAAAUUAGGGUUUUUCAGGUUUAAGGUGUGCUCCAGAGUUUUAUUUUCGAACUGUAAUUUGAUGAGGACCUAAAGCCGACUUGAUUUUAGACAUAUAUAACAAACAAUAUCAACACAAAGAAUCCAUGAGAAGCACGCAAAAUUUUAAGUGUCGCUAUCGCUGUCCCAGAGUUACGUACUCAUAGUAUUGUAUUCCUCUCCAAGUUCUUCUUACUGAAGCAAUAUCC
rnacentral:lncRNA from 1 species